AUAUAUAUAUAUAUAUAUAUAUAUUUAGCCUGCAUUUCAGCUGUCAUCGUGAUAGAGCAGAGUAGAAGCAGGCAGACAAAAAUCCUAAAUGUAUACACUGUGACAUGUGCUUCAUGGUAAUGUGGUUAGAUAAUAAGAAGUGAUAUGCUCUCCAAAUCAAGGAAAUAUUUAGCAGAUGUUAGAGGAAGAAGAAAAAAGUGAAACACUACAUGUAGGUGAUUGGGGAUAAAGUAGUCUUGGAAUAUGUAAAUGGUAGCGGUGCAUACUACUUGCUACACUGAAACAUCCUAUUCCGUUAACUAAACUUUUUGGAUAUGUCACCUGUUUGGUGUGAAAAAUAAUUUCUCCUUGGCUAGAAGCAGCUACUUUGAUUGAUGCUUCACUGUGCCAUGUAUGCAUACAAUUAGUAGGUGCUUUAGGACUCAUUCUCACCUUUUCGUGGGCUGAACGUAGCAAUUGUAGUAGAAAAUGAAGAAAAGCAUUAUCCAGACACUCCCCGCUCGUCUGUCAGUCAUUUGAAAUGUUGUAUGGAUAAGCAGAUGUUGCACAGACAAUGGGGCACAUUUCUUUUCUGCAAUUGGUGUCCAUUAACCAACCUCCGAAUUUCUACAAAGAUCAGCGAGACUGUUGUGACGCAGAUCUUGGGAGGGGUUAAGCCAUGAUAACUGAUUGUCAUGUUGUAAAACUGGCCUAUAUUUUCUAGAGAAAUGCUGAAGGGAGGUGACUAGAACAAAUAUUUUGACCAAACUAUGGUAAAUUUAUGUACAAAGGAAAAAAUCCAAAAGUCUCCUGGAUUGAAUUUGUAAUUUUUUUUUCUUGUCUAUCAGUGCACGCCCUAUGGCUAACUUAUUUAUUUUUUAAGUCUGGUUUGUGGUAACAUUAAAAAAAAUGUGUAUUUCAAAUAGAUAAAUGCACAUCUUUCAGUUCAAUAUUGCAUUUACAGGGAUUUUAAUUGUAAUUUGUAAUUUAUUUUGUUAACAACCAGGAGUGCAGUGCUUAAUUUGGAUGAUUUUUAUGCACUCAUAAAACUCAGAAAAAAAAAGCUGAUCUGUUUUUUGUUUUGUAUUUUAUUUUCCUUUUUCUGUGUUGCUGUAAGUUCUUUUUUUCCCAUUGGUCAAAUACACAAAUUCACCCUUUCAAAAUCAUUUACUCACAUGUCUGUUCUGACAUCCUCAUUCUGCCUUUUUUGUGUUAUUGUCUUAAACAGAAAAUAAUGGUAUAUGCAUAAAUAUAUAUAUUUUUUUCAUUAUGGAAGAUGAGAGUUGUGGCCAUCCAAAUGUGAAAUCACUUCUGUCUCUGCAGUAUUUGACCAAAUUAUGUUGCACCAUAUUGUAAAUACAUGCAGCAACUUGUGUUUCUUAUAAUACAUUUGUUGAUUUGGUUUCUCUGUAGACCUUUUUAUUUUAUUUGUUUUGUUUUUUUGGCGGGGGAGAAGCGGUUUGGCCUGUACAGUGUUUAUAUGAUCUGGACUCAUAACACAUAACAAGAAAAUGUGUAUAUUAAACCAGUUGUGGACUUCAGAUAUUUAAAAUACAGAACCCUUUAUUUGCUGCAAAGACCAGUAUGUAGACAUUUUGCUUUUUAGCAAUAUUUAAGUGCUCCAUUUACUGCCUUGGAGGGUGGAGGGGGGUGGAUUAGUCCUCCUUGGCAGCACAAACUGGUCAAUAAUAGGUAAUGCAGGUAUGUUCAGGUUAAGCCAACAAUGUUUUGCAUUUAUAUGCUUUUUUCCUGUCUAUACUAAUGAAGUCAACAUUGCCUGAAUGUUAAACUAUUGAAUUACAUCCCUGUUUAAAAGUAUGUAACUGAAGAAAUAAAAAAAAAAAUAAAGGUAGUUUUUUUUUAA